ACCGUUCUACUGGUUGGAAGAGAUUGUGGAAAAGCAUCAGCGAGACAAGACAACAACUCUGGACCAAUGAGGAGAGAGAAGACACAGAGGACUGAGGAGACACAGAAAAUCCUGCUGGACAUUCAUAAAAAAUGUUUCUUGAUGGACCAGGGGGAUAGCUGAGGACAGGACAGCAUGAAGAGACAGAGAUCAUGUGAAAUUCAAGGAUGACCUUUCAACCCUGGAUUUCAUUUCUGCUUUGCAGCUUCAAGUGUGGAAAAGUUGAUGAGAGGAAAUCUUUGAGGUUCAGCUCAGUGAACAGGGCAGCACCAGACGACAAGAAGAAACCAGACUGCUAGGAUUCUCCUUGAGACGGACCAAACCUCGCUUUCCUGUUCAAACACUGACAAAAUACCAAAGCCCAAGACAAACCAUCAGUUUCUAAAAAGACAUGAACUUUGGGAUACAAAACUCUUUGGACUUUAUUGACUUCAAAUAAAGAAUCACAAAACACAAAUGUGGAUGUUAACUUGUGAAACCUGCUCUGUCAAAGUUCUGACUCUGCUGCGUUGGGGUUGUUUGACACCUUUAAGUUUUAGACUCUCAUUUAUUUCCAAGUCCACCAUGUUUUCCAGUCUUAUGUAGUUUUCCACAUAGGAUUCCCAAGUCAGUGGAUCCAUGGGGCCACUGUCUCUGGAGGCCCUCAAACUGUCCCUAAAGACGGUCAUGGACACAUUGACUGCUGUUUGACUCGGUCAUAAACUGUCCCAAUUCCUCCUGGGAGUCUGGGAACCCACAGUCUGUUCUGCCAAACCCAGGAGUAAAAUAUGCACAGGGCACAUAGUUUAGUUCUAUAUUUAUAUUUCUACAUUCAACUGUUACUACCAGCUGCUAUGACUAUUGUUGAAAACUGUUGUAAUGCUUAAUUGUAUUUAUAUAUAAAUAUUAGAAAUGAACAUUUUUAUGUCAUC